GUUGAGCUAACCGGUACUAAUUAACCGUGAGGCUUAACCUUACAACGCCGAAGC
rnacentral:rRNA from 1 species